rnacentral:rRNA from 1 species
UGGUGGAGUGAUUUGUCUGGUUAAUUCCGUUAACGAACGAGACCUCGACCUACUAAAUAGUUGACUAAACUCUUCGGGGUUUGGAUUAACUUCUUAGAGGGACUUUUGGUGAGUAGCCAAAGGAAGUUCGAGGCAAUAACA